CAGUAGCCACGGUAACACGUAGGGUGCAAGCGUUAAUCGGAAUUACUGGGCGUAAAGCGUGCGCAGGCGGUUAUAUAAGACAGAUGUGAAAUCCCCGGGCUCAACCUGGGAACUGCAUUUGUGACUGUAUAGCUAGAGUACGGCAGAGGGGGAUGGAAUUCCGCGUGUAGCAGUGAAAUGCGUAGAUAUGCGGAGGAACACCGAUGGCGAAGGCAAUCCCCUGGGCCUGUACUGACGCUCAUGCACGAAAGCGUGGGGAGCAAACAGGAUUAGAGACCCCCGUAGUCCCUGUCUUUUAUAC
rnacentral:rRNA from 1 species